CAGCAGCCGCGGGAACACGGAGGGUGCAAGCGUUAUCCGGAUUUAUUGGGUUUAAAGGGUCCGUAGGCGGACUUAUAAGUCAGUGGUGAAAGCCUGUCGCUUAACGAUAGAACUGCCAUUGAUACUGUAAGUCUUGAGUAUAUUUGAGGUAGCUGGAAUAAGUAGUGUAGCGGUGAAAUGCAUAGAUAUUACUUAGAACACCAAUUGCGAAGGCAGGUUACCAAGAUAUAACUGACGCUGAGGGACGAAAGCGUGGGUAGCGAACAGGAUUAGAUACCCCUGUAGUCCCUGUCUCUUAUAC
rnacentral:rRNA from 1 species